rnacentral:lncRNA from 1 species
AAGAACGUGGGGGGUAGGGGGAAGAUGAUCGCCUUGCAGGCGGAGAAGCUGUCCUUUGAUAGGAGGGAGAAGGAGUUCUUUUGCGGUGUGGGGAAGGAGAAUGUCUUUGAACAGAGGAACCUGACUGUGAUGAAGAAGAGUGAUGUCUAGAGGAUAUGGGAGAAUGACGUUGGCCAGAUGGAGAAGCAGACCUGCGAGAGGGUGAGAAGUUAUGCUUGUGAGUUGUUGAUUUCACUGGGGCUCGUGAGACUUGUCGUCGCCUUGCAGCAGGUGGUGAAUACUCCCUGGAAGGGGAGGAAUUACUGCCAGAAUGAUCUGCAGGACUGGGAGAACGCUUCUGUCUAUGGGAACCUUCAGAAGGAUCUCUCUGCUUCUCUUUUUUCUCUUUGUGCCUUUCAAAGUCACGCCCCCUCUCUUUCACAUCCCUUGUCUUUUCAUCUAAACGUUCUUUGCCUUUAUGCUUUUCUUUGUGUUUUUUUCCUAAGGGAGUUUCCUCUUGUACCGGAGGAGGAGGACUUGGGGUACGAGGCCCUUUCUUUUUACUCUGGUUACUUUUAGAACUCCUCUGCUGAUCCAAAAGUGGGGAAGAUACAGUAGAUGCUUUCUUCUCUUUCUUACUAGCCGAAGAGGAAGACUUCGGACUAGACCUUCGUUUUGGAGACUUGCUAGACUUUCUUGGUGAUGGCGACGGUGACAAUUUAGACCUAACCACCUCUGGAGAAAUCUCCUUUUUAAUGACAAUCUCCUCUCGUUUCUCCAUGUUUUCCUGUUCCAACUUCAUGAGUUCUCUCUGAAUCUUUUGGCGCUUCAUUUCCAAAGACAGCUCAUGAUCAUAAUCAUAGUUAACAUCUCCAUUAUCAGAGUCUUCUCUAUUUGUUUCCCAAUCUCCAUUUUCCUCUUCACUUUCUGGUGUUCUCUCCUUUGUAAUUUUGAUAUCUUCCUUUUCUCUAUGUCUCCCUCGUGAAGACUCUUUCCUAACAGGAGAGGACGAUUCCUCUGUACUUCGUUUCUGUGGUUCAGCCUCAACAUCUUGACGUUUGUUCUUCAUUCUUUCCCGGAG